UACGAAGGGUGCAAGCGUUAAUCGGAAUUACUGGGCGUAAAGGGUGCGUAGGCGGUUCGUUAAGUCUGUCGUGAAAUCCCCGGGCUCAACCUGGGAAUGGCGAUGGAUACUGGGCAGCUAGAGUGUGUCAGAGGAUGGUGGAAUUCCCGGUGUAGCGGUGAAAUGCGUAGAUAUUGGGAAGAACACCGGUGGCGAAGGCGGCGCUCUGGACCGAGACUGACGCUGAGGCGCGAAAGCGUGGGGAGCAAACAGG
rnacentral:rRNA from 1 species